GACGUAGGGCGCGAGCGUUGUCCGGAAUUAUUGGGCGUAAAGCGCGCGCAGGCGGUUCUUUAAGUCUGGUGUUUAAACCCGAGGCUCAACUUCGGGUCGCACUGGAAACUGGGGAACUUGAGUGCAGAAGAGGAGAGUGAAAUUCCUGGUGUAGCGGUGAAAUGCGCAGAUAUCAGGAAGAACACCCGUGGCGAAGGCGGCUCUCUGGGACGGUACUGACGCUGAGACGCGAAAGCGUGGGGAGCGAACAGG
rnacentral:rRNA from 1 species